rnacentral:rRNA from 1 species
AUUGAACGCUGCGGCAGGCUUAACACAUGCAAGUCGAGCGAGCGGCGGAAGGGUGAUUAAUGCUUAGGAAUCUGCCUAUUAGUGGGGGACAACAUCUCGAAAGGGAUGCUAAUACUGCAUACUAAUAGACGAGCCUCAGUCGGAUUAGCUAGUUGGUGGGGUAAAGGCCUACCAAGGCGACGAUCUGUAGCGGGUCUGAGAGGAUGAGCCGCAACACUGGGGCUGGGACACAGCCCAGACUCCUUCGGGUGGCAGCAGUGGGGAAGAUUGGGCAAUGGGGGGAAACCUGAACCAGCCAAGCCGCGUGUGUGAAGAAGGCCUUAUGGUGGGAAAGCACUUUAAGCGAGGAGGCGUUACGCACAGAAUAAGCACCGGCUAACUCUGUGCCAGCAGCCGCGGUAAUAC